GUCUACGGCCAUACCACCCUGAACGCGCCCGAUCUCGUCUGAUCUCGGAAGCUAAGCAGGGUCGGGCCCGGUUAGUACUGGAUGGGAGACCGCCUGGGAAUACCGGGUGCUGUAGGCU
rnacentral:rRNA from 1 species